rnacentral:rRNA from 1 species
GGACAAGCGAAUAAGUGCACAUGGUGGAUGCCUUGGCGAUUACAGGCGAUGAAGGACGUAGUAGCUUGCGAUAAGCUGCGGGGAGUGAGCAAACACACUUUGAUCCGCAGAUUUCCGAAUGGGGCAACCCACCCUUUUAGGGUAUUGCAUACUGAAUACAUAGGUAUGCAAGGCGAACGCGGCGAACUGAAACAUCUAAGUAGCUGCAGGAAAAGAAAUCAACCGAGAUUCCCAAAGUAGCGGCGAGCGAAAUGGGAAGAGCCUGUACGUGAUAGUCGGACCGAUAACAGAAUCCUCUGGAAAUAGGAGCCAUAGUGGGUGAUAGCCCCGUAUGUGAAAUCGGACCGGUGGUACUAAGCGUACGACAAGUAGGGCGGGACACGUGACAUCCUGUCUGAAUAUGGGGGGACCAUCCUCCAAGGCUAAAUACUCGUAAUCGACCGAUAGUGAACCAGUACCGUGAGGGAAAGGCGAAAAGAACCCCGGAAGGGGAGUGAAAUAGAUCCUGAAACCGUGUGCAUACAAACAGUAGGAGCGGACUUGUUCCGUGACUGCGUACCUUUUGUAUAAUGGGUCAGCGACUUACAUUCAGUGGCAAGGUUAACCAGAUAGGGAAGCCGUAGAGAAAUCGAGUCCGAAUAGGGCGAUCAGUCGCUGGGUGUAGACCCGAAACCAAGUGAUCUACUCAUGGCCAGGAUGAAGGUGCGGUAACACGCCCUGGAGGUCCGAACCCACUAAUGUUGAAAAAUUAGGGGAUGAGCUGUGGGUAGGGGUGAAAGGCUAAACAAACUUGGAAAUAGCUGGUUCUCUCCGAAAACUAUUUAGGUAGUGCCUCAAGUAUCACCAUCGGGGGUAGAGCACUGUUAUGGCUAGGGGGUCAUUGCGACUUACCAAACCAUUGCAAACUCCGAAUACCGAUGAGUGCGAGCUUGGGAGACAGACGUCGGGUGCUAACGUCCGGCGUCAAGAGGGAAACAACCCAGACCGCCAGCUAAGGUCCCAAAGAUUGGCUAAGUGGAAAACGAAGUGGGAAGGCUAAAACAGUCAGGAUGUUGGCUUAGAAGCAGCCAUCAUUUAAAGAAAGCGUAAUAGCUCACUGAUCGAGUCGUCCUGCGCGGAAGAUGUAACGGGGCUAAGCCAGUCACCGAAGCUGCGGAUAU